UGGGGCGUCGCCAAGCGGUAAGGCAGCGGUUUUUGGUACCGCCAUUCGGAGGUUCGAAUCCUCCCGCCCCAGCCA
rnacentral:tRNA from 10 species